ensembl:lncRNA
GCUGCUGGCUGAAGGUUAUGGGUCCUACUAGAAACAGAUAUUAAGAGCUGUGUCUUUAAUAAAAAGACGAGAAUUCUGCAGUUUUGAUUCCAGCUUGUGCUUCAUCCAGCCCAGCAUUUUGCACGAUGUACUCUGCAUAUAAAUUAAAUAAGCAGGGUGACAAUAUACAGCCUUGACGUACUCCUUUCCUGAUUUAGAACCAGUCUGUUGUUCCAUGUCCAGUUCGAAUUGUUGCUUCUUGACCUGCAUACAGAUUUCUCAAGAGGCAGGUCAAAUUUAUUUCAAAGUCCAAGGUUUGUUCUGUCUCCACUGCUGCAAGCUCAACCUGUAAACUGCCAACUGUACCUCUCAUAAUUUAUAAAGCAAAACGUGUAAUCUAUACCCCAAAUGCUGCACAGGACAUGGAUUUAUGACAUAAGGAGAAUGGAAUUCACCAUUUCUUUCAUCAAGAUCUUUUCCAAUGAGCCAGCUCUUCACAUCAGGUGGCCAAAAUAUUGGAGCUUCAACUUCAGCAUCAAUACUUCCAAUAAAUGUUAAGACUUGAUUUUGUUUAGGAUUGACUGGUUUGAUCUCCUGGCUGUCCAAGAGACUCUCAAGAGUCUUUGCCAGCACCACAAUUCGAAAGCAUCAAUGGACAAACCUGGAGGACAAGUGAAAUAAGCCAGACACAGAAAAACAAAUUACUACAUGAUGUAAUUUAUAUAUGGAUUCUAAAGCAUUUGAACUCAUAAAAGCAGAAAAUAAAAAGGUGUUUUCCAGGGACUUGGGGAUGGGAGAAACGGGGAGAUGUUGUUCAAAGAGUAUACACAUUCAGUUAUGCAGGAUGAAUCACUUCUGGAGAUUUAAUGAACAGCGUGUGACAAUGGUGGUUUAGUCACUAAGUCAUGUCUGACUCUUGCGACCUCAUGGACUGUAGCCCACCAGGUGCCUCUGUUCAUGGAAUUUUCCAGGAAGAAUACUGGAGUGGGUUGCUGUUUCCUUCUCCAGGGGAUCUUCCCAACCCAGGGAUUGAAUCUAGGUCUCCUAUACCACUGACAGACUCUUUAUGAUUG